AAGAAGAUCAAAAGCUUGUUAGACACAGGUUAUAAUGGAAGCAUAAAAGGGAUGAGAGGAACUUUACAUAACAUAGAAAUCCUGCAACAAUUCGUAAAUUGCCCAAACACAGUGUUCAGACCGGAUAUGCGCUACCCGUUAAAGGGGGCGAAGAAAUCAGGCCUAAGUCUGAAAAAUGAAAUGGGUUAACUCGAUAGAGGAUGUUUCCAAAGGUAGAGAAAAUAAUGUAGGACCUUUUACCAGGAGAAAGCUAACUGUAUCUUUUACACUUUACAGUGUGCAUUGAGGGAAGUCAGGAAUAUGUUCAGACCGGAUAUGCGCUACCCGUUAAAGGGGGCGAAGAAAUCAGGCCUAAGUUUGAAAAAUGAAAUGGGUUAACUCGAUAGAGGAUGUUUCCAAAG
ensembl:lncRNA